rnacentral:rRNA from 1 species
GACGAACGCUGGCGGCGUGCUUAACAAAUGCAAGUCGAACGAGUGGCGGACGGGUGAGUAAUGCUUGGGAAUCUGGCUUAUGGAGAGGGAUAACUACGGGAAACUGGAGCUAAUACGGCGUAACACAGGAUGAGACCAAGUGGGAUUAGGGAGUUGGUGAGGUACAGGCUCACAAAGCCGACGAUCUCUAGCUGGUCUGAGAGGAUGACCAGCCAAACUGGGACUGAGCAACGGCCCAGACUCCUACGGGAGGCAGCAGUGGGGAAUAUUGCGCAAUGGGGGCAACCUGACGCAGCCAUGCCGCGUGAAUGAAGAAGGCCUUCGGGUUGUAAAGUUCUUUCGGUAGCGAGGCGUUAACUACAGAAGAAGCACCGGCUAACUCCGUGCCAGCAGCCGCGGUAAUUC